GUCCUAAAAUUCGCUGCGUCUACUUCCCAAAUAAUCACAAAAUUUAGUAAAUCCCAUGCUUGUGGCAGUUUUUUUUAAAAUCGCCUAAGCGCUACUUUCACAAUAUUAAAUUUUUACUUGUAUGUAGUUUAUGCAUUGGCGAGAGAUAGUUUCACUUCAUUUUUAGAAGGUUAACUAAAACAAGGGAAAGUUUGGAAGAAAAAAUGGAUGAAAAAUAGGAUCCAGAAGUUCUCGAAAUGUCGUCCAGCCUUUACGAGAACUGGACGGUAGCUACUAUAGAACGUGAUCUACAACCGGAAGUUAGCACCACGCUACCGGACUUUGAUCCCCCAAUUCGAACCAGAAUAUCGACACCAUUCAGAUGUGUUGCAUGUAUAGGGAAAACUUGCGUUAUUUUCUUCCUCCUAGGCCUGAUAGUUGGAAUAUUCGCCCUGCCAAUUUCGAUGAUUGUCGUCGGCUGGAAACACGUCGAUGAGUGUCCAGCCGAAGAAUUGCCGAUUAUUUUGAUGGUCGGUGGACUUAUAUUUCUCAUCCAAAUAAUUGUAAUCCCCUGUUUUAAAAAAGACGGGGGAAAAUAUAUCACUGGGUUUGUGGCACUGGUAGAACUUGGUUGGUUACUUGCCGCCGCGGUAUUGCUUUAUAGAACUGAUUUUGUCACAGAUGAUUUACAAAAUCCUAAUUAUUGUCGACCUGUCGUUUAUUAUUUUACCUGGUGGAUGGUCAGUAUAAUAAUUGGGUGCAGUGGGGUAACUAUAAUGAUGGUAUUAUGUGUGACAUACCGUGAAAAAUGCAAAAGAUUUUGUGAAUAAAUGUAUGUAUUUAUGUUGGUAUGAA